AUACGGAGGGGGUUAGCGUUGUUCGGAAUUACUGGGCGUAAAGCGUACGUAGGCGGACUGGAAAGUUGGGGGUGAAAUCCCGGGGCUCAACCCCGGAACUGCCUCCAAAACUUCCAAUCUAGAGAUCGAGAGAGGUGUGUGGAAUUCCAAGUGUAGAGGUGAAAUUCGUAGAUAUUUGGAGGAACACCAGUGGCGAAGGCGGCUCACUGGCUCGAUACUGACGCUGAGGUACGAAAGCGUGGGGAGCAAACAGGAUUAGAUACCCUAGUAGUCC
rnacentral:rRNA from 1 species